rnacentral:rRNA from 1 species
UACAGAGGAUGCAAGCGUUAUCCGGAAUGAUUGGGCGUAAAGCGUCUGUAGGUGGCUUUUUAAGUCCGCCGUCAAAUCCCAGGGCUCAACCCUGGACAGGCGGUGGAAACUACCAAGCUGGAGUACGGUAGGGGCAGAGGGAAUUUCCGGUGGAGCGGUGAAAUGCGUAGAUAUCGUCUGGAACGCCGAAGGUGAAAACAGCUACGCUGGGGCUGCGCUGACGCUGAGACACGAAAGCCAGGGGAGCGGAACGGG